rnacentral:rRNA from 1 species
GAUGAACGCUAGCUACAGGCUUAACACAUGCAAGUCGAGAGGUAACGAGAGGAAAGCUUGCUUUCCUUGUCGACGACCGGCGCACGGGUGAGUAACGCGUAUCCAACCUGCCCCCAACUAAGGAAUAACCUUGCGAAAGUAAGACUAAUACCUUAUAAUUUCCUCAGAUGUCAUCUGACGAGGAAUAAAGAUUUAUCGGUUGUGGAUGGGGAUGCGUCUGAUUAGCUUGUUGGCGGGGUAACGGCCCACCAAGGCAACGAUCAGUAGGGGUUCUGAGAGGAAGGUCCCCCACAUUGGAACUGAGACACGGUCCAAACUCCUACGGGAGGCAGCAGUGAGGAAUAUUGGUCAAUGGGCGGAAGCCUGAACCAGCCAAGUAGCGUGCAGGAUGACGGCCCUAUGGGUUGUAAACUGCUUUUAUACAGGAAUAAAGUUAGCCACGUGUGGUUAUUUGUAGGUACUGUAUGAAUAAGGACCGGCUAAUUCCGUGCCAGCCGCCGCGGUAC